AUUUGAGGACAUUACAGCUUAAAAAUUAUUGAUUGUCAUAACACAAUUGUCAAACAAUUUAUAUUCUCUUUUUUAUAUUCACAGCUCUUGCCGUAAGAAGCGAGAAGGGGGUAGAUGUGGCCAGUAAUAUCCCACCUAUUGAGCAGGCACCUGGAAAGAGGAAACAGGAGUCAGAUAUAACCGAUUCCUCAUCCUCUGAUUCCUCAUCGGAUUCUGAGCCCGAUUCCGAGUCCCCAGAGCCCAAGAAGAAGUUAAAGUCAAAGCCCAAAAAGGCCAAGAAAAUGAGCAAAACACUAAGAGUCAAAACACCUGACGACUCCAUCCGCCGCUACAACAUGGUGUUGGAAAAGAUUUAAAAGGAACACAUCAGCAAAGCCGAAGCAUAUACAAGGCUUGGGGUUGAUCGCAAUACUAUUGUGUUUCAGGCUCCAAUUGCAGAACUUGCAGCAAUUAACCCACAUCUGUUCAAUACAUUGAGGUCUUUUUUUAAAAGAAAGGAUAGUCUGAAAAGGUUUGCUGAAACUUGCAGGGGGUUUUGUGAGCAGGAGCCUACAGCUUCAGCUGUCCUAAAGAAAAAGGAUGAUGGAUCCUUACUGGAUAUUUACAAGAAGUAGUUGUAAAGAUGUUUUACAAGUAGUUUGUUUUAGGGCUGGGUGAUAUAUUGCAUGACAUUGUUAUGCACAUCUCGUCAGUAAAGCCGGUUCCUUGAUUAGUUAAUUAAUUAAUGCGAUAUGGCUCAGCUUGUCAGUGAACUACGGCUCUGUGUAGUAAAUGCCGCUCCAUCUGAAAGCAGGUGAUGGCGAUUUACUACUAAUUAAGGAACCGGCUUUACUGACGAGAUGCGCAUAACAAUGUCAUGCAAUAUAUCGCCCAGUCCUAGAUUGUUUGUACUGCCAUGUGUUUGUGCCAUGUAUUUGUUUAGUUUAGUUUUGUUAAGCGUUAAAUAUUUCAUGAUGUGGAGGAGUCCACAUCAGUAGCUUUAUACAUUAAAAAUUGACUCUUUACCCAAAAAAAAUUCAAGCUGUUUGUGAAUUUUUUUUAAUUUAUAAAAAAAAAACAAAAAAACAGCUUUAUGGUUUUGAAAAGAGUUUUCAG
rnacentral:lncRNA from 1 species